rnacentral:rRNA from 1 species
GGAACUUGCCAGAGAUGGCUUGGUGCCCGAAAGGGAAUCGGAACACAGGUGCUGCAUGGCUGUCGUCAGCUCGUGUCGUGAGAUGUUGGGUUAAGUCCCGCAACGAGCGCAACCCUUAUCAUUAGUUGCUACGCAAGGGCACUCUAAUGAGACUGCCGGUGACAAACCGGAGGAAGGUGGGGAUGACGUCAAGUCAGCAUGGCCUUUAUAUCCUGGGCUACACACACGCUACAAUGGGAAGGGACAAUAGGUUGCGAAGCCGCGAGGCGGAGCCAAUCCAGCAAAACUUCCCUCAGUUCAGAUUGCAGGCUGCAACUCGCCUGCAUGAAGUUGGAGUUGCUAGUAAACGCAGGUCAGCCAUACUGCGUUGAAUACGUUCCCGGGGCUU